UACGUAGGGCGCAAGCGUUGUCCGGAAUUAUUGGGCGUAAAGAGCUCGUAGGCGGCUUGUCACGUCGGGUGUGAAAGACCGGGGCUUAACCCCGGUUCUGCAUUCGAUACGGGCUGGCUAGAGUGUGGUAGGGGAGAUCGGAAUUCCUGGUGUAGCGGUGAAAUGCGCAGAUAUCAGGAGGAACACCGGUGGCGAAGGCGGAUCUCUGGGCCAUUACUGACGCUGAGGAGCGAAAGCAUGGGGAGCAAACAGG
rnacentral:rRNA from 1 species